rnacentral:rRNA from 1 species
CGGCGAGUUACGAUUUGUUGCAAGGUUAAGCGGAAAAAGCGGAGCCGUAGCGAAAGCGAGUCUGAAUAGGGCGCAUAAGUAACAGGUCGUAGACCCGAAACCAGGUGAUCUACCCAUGUCCAGGAUGAAGGUAAGGUAAUACUUACUGGAGGUCCGAACCCACGCACGUUGAAAAGUGCGGGGAUGAGGUGUGGGUAGCGGAGAAAUUCCAAUCGAACUUGGAGAUAGCUGGUUCUCUCCGAAAUAGCUUUAGGGCUAGCCUCGAGGUAAAGAGUCAUGGAGGUAGAGCACUGUUUGGACUAGGGGCCCUUCUCGGGUUACCGAAUUCAGAUAAACUCCGAAUGCCAUGUACUUAUACUCGGGAGUCAGACUGCGAGUGAUAAGAUCCGUAGUCGAAAGGGAAACAGCCCAGACCACCAGUUAAGGUCCCCAAAUAUAUGUUAAGUGGAAAAGGAUGUGGGGUUGCUUAGACAACCAGGAUGUUGGCUUAGAAGCAGCCACCAUUGAAAGAGUGCGUAAUAGCUCACUGGUCGAGUGACCCCGCGCCGAAAAUGUACCGGGGCUAAACAUAUUACCGAAACUGUGGAUGAACCUCUUUAGAGGUUCGUGGUAGGAGAGCGUUCUAAGGGCGGUGAAGUCAGACCGGAAGGACUGGUGGAGCGCUUAGAAGUGAGAAUGCCGGUAUGAGUAGCGAAAGAAGGGUGAGAAUCCCUUCCACCGAAUAUCUAAGGUUUCCUGAGGAAGGCUCGUCCGCUCAGGGUUAGUCGGGACCUAAGCCGAGGCCGAUAGGCGUAGGCGAUGGACAACAGGUAGAGAUUCCUGUACCAGUGCUAAUUGUUUAACCGAUGGGGUGACACAGAAGGAUAGGGAAUCGCACGAAUGGAAAUGUGCGUCCAAGCAGUGAGUGUGAGAAGUAGGCAAAUCCGCUUCUCGCGAAGCAUGAGCUGUGAUGGGGAAGGAAAUUAAGUACGGAAGUUCCUGAUUUCACGCUGUCAAGAAAAGCCUCUAGGAAGAGUAGUACUGCCCGUACCGCAAACCGACACAGGUAGAUGAGGAGAGAAUCCUAAGGUGAGCGAGAGAACUCUCGUUAAGGAACUCGGCAAAAUGACCCCGUAACUUCGGGAGAAGGGGUGCUCUAUUAGGGUGCAAGCCCGAGAGAGCCGCAGUGAAUAGGCCCAGGCGACUGUUUAGCAAAAACACAGGUCUCUGCAAAACCGUAAGGUGACGUAUAGGGGCUGACGCCUGCCCGGUGCUGGAAGGUUAAGAGGAGUGCUUAGCUUCGGCGAAGGUACGAAUUGAAGCCCCAGUAAACGGCGGCCGUAACUAUAACGGUCCUAAGGUAGCGAAAUUCCUUGUCGGGUAAGUUCCGACCCGCACGAAAGGCGCAACGAUCUGGGCACUGUCUCAACGAGAGACUCGGUGAAAUUAUAGUACCUGUGAAGAUGCAGGUUACCCGCGACAGGACGGAAAGACCCCGUGGAGCUUUACUGCAACCUGAUAUGGAAUGUUUGUACCGCUUGUACAGGAUAGGUAGGAGCCGAAGAGACGUGUGCGCUAGCAUACGAGGAGGCAAUGGUGGGAUACUACCCUGGCUGUAUGACCAUUCUAACCCGCCACGCUUAGCGCGUGGGGAGACAGUGUCAGGUGGGCAGUUUGACUGGGGCGGUCGCCUCCUAAAGAGUAACGGAGGCGCCCAAAGGUUCCCUCAGAAUGGAUGGAAAUCAUUCGCAGAGUGUAAAGGCACAAGGGAGCUUGACUGCGAGACUGACAAGUCGAGCAGGGACGAAAGUCGGGCUUAGUGAUCCGGUGGUUCCGCAUGGAAGGGCCAUCGCUCAACGGAUAAAAGCUACCCCGGGGAUAACAGGCUUAUCUCCCCCAAGAGUCCACAUCGACGGGGAGGUUUGGCACCUCGAUGUCGGCUCGUCGCAUCCUGGGGCUGUAGUCGGUCCCAAGGGUUGGGCUGUUCGCCCAUUAAAGCGGCACGCGAGCUGGGUUCAGAACGUCGUGAGACAGUUCGGUCCCUAUCCGUCGCGGGCGCAGGAAAUUUGAGAGGAGCUGUCCUUAGUACGAGAGGACCGGGAUGGACACACCGCUGGUGUACCAGUUGUUCCGCCAGGAGCAUCGCUGGGUAGCUAUGUGUGGCAGGGAUAAACGCUGAAAGCAUCUAAGCGUGAAGCCCCCCUCAAGAUGAGAUUUCCCAUUUCUUCGGAAAGUAAGAUCCCUGAAAGAUGAUCAGGUAGAUAGGUUUGG